rnacentral:rRNA from 1 species
GAUGAACGCUAGCUACAGGCUUAACACAUGCAAGUCGAACGAAGCAAUUGGAGUGCUUGCACUUUGAUUGACUGAGUGGCGGACGGGUGAGUAACGCGUGGGUAACCUGCCUCACACAGGGGGGCAACAGUUGGAAACGACUGCUAAUACCGCAUAAGCGCACAGUAUCGCAUGAUACAGUGUGAGAAACUCCGGUGGUGUGAGAUGGACCCGCGUCUGAUUAGCUAGUUGGUAAGGUAACGGCUUACCAAGGCGACGAUCAGUAGCCGGCCUGAGAGGGUGAACGGCCACAUUGGGACUGAGACACGGCCCAA